UACGGGGGAGCAAGCGUUGUUCGGAUUUACUGGGCGUAAAGGGCGCGUAGGCGGUCAGCACAAGUCAGUUGUGAAAUCUCCGGGCUUAACCCGGAAAGGUCAACUGAUACUGCUCGGCUAGAGUGCGGAAGGGGCAACUGGAAUUCUUGGUGUAGCGGUGAAAUGCGUAGAUAUCAAGAGGAACACCUGCGGCGAAGGCGGGUUGCUGGGCCGACACUGACGCUGAAGUGCGAAAGCUAGGGGGAGCGAACGGG
rnacentral:rRNA from 1 species